rnacentral:rRNA from 1 species
AACCCCAAAGGCCUGCCCCCAAAAGGGACCUUUUGUGCACUGUAAAAUUUUUUCACUUAAGCUUUGUCUGAUUGAUAUUUGUACCGAAAGGGACAAGAAUUUUAAUCUAAAACAACUUUUAACAAUGGAUCUCUUGGCUCUCGCAUCGAUGAAGAACGCAGCGAAAUGCGAUAAGUAAUGUGAAUUGCAGAAUUCAGUGAAUCAUCGAAUCUUUGAACGCAUAUUGCGCUCUCCGGCAUUCCGGAGAGCAUGCCUGUUUGAGUAUUGGCCUAAACGAGAGUCUUCCUUUAAAGAUAUAAAAAAGAACGUUAAGAACCCUCAGUUGAGACUUCUCGACAAUUCAUUGCCGAGUGUUUUAAAAUGCAAUAGUACCGCCACGUUUGCGAACUUGGAGUAAUAUGUGAGCCUGAAAAGGUGACCUCUAUUCUCCUCGGACCACGUAGACCUGUUAAGCGGGAAGUUUUUGAAUGCCGAAUUAUGGGAGACGGUGUUCAAUUGUUCGAGUAACGACGAACGAAAUAAACUCAAUCUCAAAUCAGGUAGGAUUACCCGCUGAACUUAAGCAUAUCAAUAAG